CCUACGGGAGGCUGCAGUGGGGAAUAUUGCACAAUGGGCGCAAGCCUGAUGCAGCCAUGCCGCGUGUGUGAAGAAGGCCUUCGGGUUGUCAAGCACUUUCAGCGGGGAGGAAGGCGGUGAGGUUAAUAACCUCAUCGAUUGACGUUACCCGCAGAAGAAGCACCGGCUAACUCCGUGCCAGCAGCCGCGGUAAUACGGAGGGUGCAAGCGUUAAUCGGAAUUACUGGGCGUAAAGCGCACGCAGGCGGUCUGUCAAGUCGGAUGUGAAAUCCCCGGGCUCAACCUGGGAACUGCAUUCGAAACUGGCAGGCUAGAGUCUUGUAGAGGGGGGUAGAAUUCCAGGUGUAGCGGUGAAAUGCGUAGAGAUCUGGAGGAAUACCGGUGGCGAAGGCGGCCCCCUGGACAAAGACUGACGCUCAGGUGCGAAAGCGUGGGGAGCAAACAGGAUUAGAUACCCCAGUAGUC
rnacentral:rRNA from 1 species